GUUAGCCGGCGGGCGGGCGUCGGGCUACCUCGGCGACGGGUGGCCUGAGGAAACUCCACCACCUCUAUGGACCCGCGGCGCCGUGAGGCGCUGGGGGAAACCCCAGGCAACGGACCAGAAACGAGACCCCCUAUACCCAGUGAGGAGGAGGCGGAGAACCGCUCUAGCAAUAGGGCGGGAGUUAACCCGUUGACGAGGGUAUAGGAGUGGAUGGAACGGCCGCCCCGCGGGUUAGAGCCAAACAGGGUCAAUGAGUUCCAUAGGGAGACCCGGGUGGGCUCUUAGAUUGAUCCCGCCUAAAACAGAAGGUGGGUUACCGCCGGCUAAC
rnacentral:RNase_P_RNA from 1 species